CACAAUGCAUUGGAUACAAUUUUAUCUGAUGUCAAAGGAGGGCUGAACUUGCUGUCUAUUGUGAAGUAGGCGUGUUUAGAUUGUUCUCUAUUUUGAUACAAAUUAGAGACUUUGGGGCUAAAGAUAUGCAAGACCCACUUUUUCCCUGGGGGAAUACUUUGGAGUGCCAGUGCCUGCACACACACAAGCAUUCACCACCUGCUUCUGGCCUCCUUCCAUGUACCACAUCUACACACAACACUGUAACAUCCUUAACACUCUCUUGAGAAAUGCACAACUCUCUCCAACAGACUGCAAAAGCAGAAGGCAACAGAACUCCUAGGAGCUUCAGUCAUGGGCCAGGCCCCCAUCAUGCUGGGCAUUAUACAAACAGAACACAGAGAUAGUGUCUGCCUCAAAUAGUUUACAAUGAUGUGCUGAGAAUUUGACCCUUUUUUCCCCUUUGGCUGGAUCUUAAAUGGAGAAAAUGUGAGUUUGUUUUUAUAUUAAACAAAAAAAGUACAACUAGAUUGACAACUUGCAUGUCAGGGUUUUUUCCUGAUGCAGUUUGAGACAGCUGAGAUGUUAUCUCAACCAUCCCUCUUGCAAUGAGAUUUAUAAUGGAAAUGCUGACAAGACACCUAUGUUUGGAGACGGCACCAUGCACUGCUUUAAAAACUUGUUAUGAAUGUUAAUUGGUCAUCUGAAGAGUUUUCUUUUUCCAGGUGUAGGCCAAGCCUUAGGACCAGGCUCGGUAAUACAAUGUAACGAAUGCGUGAAAACAUAAGAUGCUUAUGUGAGUAUUAGAAUGGCUGGCAUUUCUGCAAACAGUGUUGCAGUUUUAUUUUCAAAGUUUAAUCAAUAAUAAGCUCUUUGAUAUUGCUAUGUACUUGGAGAACAGCAUUUCCUUAGGAUGACAGCUAAGCAACUUUCCCACGGUAUGUCUAAGUUUGGGUUUUAAUUGGUCUGCUUGGGGGAUAGUCAUGAACUUCAGUUCUACACAAAAUAAACAGAAGACAAGCCACAAAAUGGCCAUGUAGUUAGGGUGGUAAUUGUUCACCUAUCCUGCUGGUAGCCCACCAUAUUCUGGCUUUUGCAAAUUGGAGCAUUGGUGAAAUUCACAGCCGUGUCCCUUAAUUCCCAUUUACUGGAAGCCCUAAUAGCUCAUGUCAGAGAGGGCUUUGAGGGCUUAAUUGGUGCAUGGGCCUUAUGCUUGCUCUCUGCGUAGGGGUGACUCUCACUCUGAGUGAUAGCAGGCAAGGACAGCAGGCAACCUAUAGGUCGGGCACCAUGCUGUGGUACAGCCCCUCAGCCUAUGGGCUACCUCAAAGCCUGAAAGAGUUACUGCUGCAAGGUACCUUCCUCGUGGGCUGUCACACCAGGACCACUGGGUCUACCUAAUCACUGAUUCCUUGCCUCUGCCUUCAGAUCUUCCCUAUGUCCCAGGCUUUUUCAGGCCCACCUGGAUCCCCUCUCAGUGGCACCAGGGGGCACAGAGAAUCAUCUGAGCAGCCAGCCCAUGUGGCACUCUUCCUGUGCACCACAGAGCUCACCUCAGAGGCUUUGUGGGCUCUCCGUGCAAUGUGUGGAUGUCACUUUUUCUGGGAACACCUUUUGUUGUUGUUGUUUGUUCAAAACUAUACCAAUUCAGAGAGCUGACCCUCUACAGAGUUAACCUUUCGCAGAUCACUAGCACUGAAGAGCACAUUUCCUGCCGUGCUGAUAAGAAAGUGCUAGAUAACAAAAAACAAAAAUGGCUUUGUUCUCUACAUUGCAAAAGUCUGCACAAAAGCUGGGCUGGCUCCACAAAAUAGAUCUCUAGGAGCCUGCUCAGUGUAGAAGACAAGAUGAUUUAUUAAAUCUGGCACUGUAAGGGCACACAAUAUCAGCUUGGAGACAACCUUCGGCAGGGAACUCUCACAGACAAAGCACAGUAACUGGUAGAUGCUUGGAAGACAAGAAAGAAGAGGCAUUUCAGGUAACUUGACUUGAAUGUAAUGAAUUGCCAUUAACAUUCAUCCACUCCCACUGAUGUCGGUGGAAGUUCUGUGCAUGGCACCCUUGCAGGAUAUGGCUCUAAAGGCAUAGGGUCUGGUUCUGCUCUCAGUUUCCAAAGUAGCUUCACUGAAGGCAAUGGAAUUACAUCAAUAUACAAUCAGUGUGAAAUCAAGGGCUCCCAUUGGCUUGUGCUUAACUCUCUUUAAUGCUAAUAAGAGUAAAGAGAAGAGUGGAUGAGACUACAAAGUUUUAGUUACUGUAGUUGCUUUAACUUUCAUCAAGAAUAUAUUGUUGGAAUUCCCAGUUGCUGUACUUCUAAGACAUCGCUUUAGGUUUCCACACAGCUAGGGGACAGACGUCAGAUUCAAAAUAAUCUACUCAGGACAGCAAAGGAAAAUUUCAGUUUAGUUCAAAGAAACUAGGUUCCCUUACUAAAAACGAGUAAAUCACUGAUUCCCUGGGAUACCUUUGCUCCUGCUGAAUCAUACCUGACACAUUGAUUAGUGCCAAUAGGGCCACCUAGUGGAAUAAGGUACUACUCAAAUGUGAGCAGGGAUAUCACAGUCUGACCCCCAGGUUUUGCUCCUUAAUCAAAACUCCAUUUAAUAAGACCCAUCGUUUGUAGCAAAAGUCAUUCUCUGCUGCAUUAAAAUGCAUUGGAAAAGCUGGAACCUAAGUUUUAAAGGUUAAUUGGAUCCCACAAAGAAUUAACUGAGCUGUUUUCUCUCCUUUUUAAAGAGCCUUUAUAAUUAUUGUAAUCUCUACUUUAUUUCCUCACAGGGCAACCAACAUACAGGAUAUUUUUUUGACAUUUUAAUGUAGUUGUUUUUUAACAAAAUGGUUAACAAAUAAUGUACAGAUUUUGAUUUAUCUAUAAUGUACAUACUGUAGUCUCAUUGCAUGAUGAUUUAUGCACCAGAUCUUCAUAUACAUGCAUAUGAGCUUGACUAUUAAUCUUUGCUUAUGUUUAACUAUGUGCUAACAUUAUUCACUACUCCAGUAUUAAAGG